rnacentral:rRNA from 1 species
AGGAUGAACGCUGGCGGUCUGCUUAACACAUGCAAGUCGAACGGGCGUAGCAAUACGUUAGUGGCGGACGGGUGAGUAACGCGUGAGAAUCUACCUUCAGGACGGAGACAACAGUUGGAAACGACUGCUAACCCCCGAUGUACUGAAAAGGCAAAUAUUUAUAGCCUGAAGAAGAGCUCGCGUCCGAUUAGCUAGUUGGAGAGGUAAAAGCUCACCAAGGCGACGAUCGGUAGCUGGUCUGAGAGGACGAUCAGCCACACUGGGACUGAGACACGGUCCAGACUCCUACGGGAGGCAGCAGUGGGGAAUUUUCCGCAAUGGGCGAAAGCCUGACGGAGCAAGACCGCGUGGGGGAAGAAGGCUCUUGGGGUUGUAAACCCCUUUUCUCUGGGAAGAACGCAAUGACGGUACCAGAGGAAUCAGCAUCGGCUAACUCCGUGCCAGCAGCC